UACGUAGGGGGCAAGCGUUGUCCGGAUUUAUUGGGCGUAAAGAGCGUGUAGGCGGCCAGACAGGUCAGCUGUGAAAACUCGAGGCUCAACCUCGAGACGUCGGUUGAAACCGUCUGGCUAGAGUCCGGAAGAGGAGAGUGGAAUUCCCGGUGUAGCGGUGAAAUGCGCAGAUAUCGGGAGGAACACCUGUGGCGAAAGCGGCUCACUGGACCAUAACUGACGCUGAUGCACGAAAGCUAGGGGAGCAAACAGG
rnacentral:rRNA from 1 species